AGAGUUUGAUCCUGGCUCAGGAUGAACGCUAGCUACAGGCUUAACACAUGCAAGUCGAGGGGCAGCAUGGUCUUAGCUUGCUAAGGCCGAUGGCGACCGGCGCACGGGUGAGUAACACGUAUCCAACCUGCCGUCUACUCUUGGACAGCCUUCUGAAAGGAAGAUUAAUACAAGAUGGCAUCAUGAGUCCGCAUGUUCACAUGAUUAAAGGUAUUCCGGUAGACGAUGGGGAUGCGUUCCAUUAGAUAGUAGGCGGGGUAACGGCCCACCUAGUCUUCGAUGGAUAGGGGUUCUGAGAGGAAGGUCCCCCACAUUGGAACUGAGACACGGUCCAAACUCCUACGGGAGGCAGCAGUGAGGAAUAUUGGUCAAUGGACGAGAGUCUGAACCAGCCAAGUAGCGUGAAGGAUGACUGCCCUAUGGGUUGUAAACUUCUUUUAUAAAGGAAUAAAGUCGGGUAUGCAUACCCGUUUGCAUGUACUUUAUGAAUAAGGAUCGGCUAACUCCGUGCCAGCAGCCGCGGUAAUACGGAGGAUCCGAGCGUUAUCCGGAUUUAUUGGGUUUAAAGGGAGCGUAGAUGGAUGUUUAAGUCAGUUGUGAAAGUUUGCGGCUCAACCGUAAAAUUGCAGUUGAUACUGGAUAUCUUGAGUGCAGUUGAGGCAGGCGGAAUUCGUGGUGUAGCGGUGAAAUGCUUAGAUAUCACGAAGAACUCCGAUUGCGAAGGCAGCCUGCUAAGCUGCAACUGACAUUGAGGCUCGAAAGUGUGGGUAUCAAACAGGAUUAGAUACCCUGGUAGUCCACACGGUAAACGAUGAAUACUCGCUGUUUGCGAUAUACGGCAAGCGGCCAAGCGAAAGCGUUAAGUAUUCCACCUGGGGAGUACGCCGGCAACGGUGAAACUCAAAGGAAUUGACGGGGGCCCGCACAAGCGGAGGAACAUGUGGUUUAAUUCGAUGAUACGCGAGGAACCUUACCCGGGCUUAAAUUGCAGAUGAAUUACGGUGAAAGCCGUAAGCCGCAAGGCAUCUGUGAAGGUGCUGCAUGGUUGUCGUCAGCUCGUGCCGUGAGGUGUCGGCUUAAGUGCCAUAACGAGCGCAACCCUUGUUGUCAGUUACUAACAGGUUCUGCUGAGGACUCUGACAAGACUGCCAUCGUAAGAUGUGAGGAAGGUGGGGAUGACGUCAAAUCAGCACGGCCCUUACGUCCGGGGCUACACACGUGUUACAAUGGGGGGUACAGAAGGCAGCUACACGGCGACGUGAUGCUAAUCCCGAAAGCCUCUCUCAGUUCGGAUUGGAGUCUGCAACCCGACUCCAUGAAGCUGGAUUCGCUAGUAAUCGCGCAUCAGCCACGGCGCGGUGAAUACGUUCCCGGGCCUUGUACACACCGCCCGUCAAGCCAUGGGAGCCGGGGGUACCUGAAGUGCGUAACCGCGAGGAGCGCCCUAGGGUAAAACUGGUGACUGGGGCUAAGUCGUAACAAGGUAGCCGUACCGGAAGGUGCGGCUG
rnacentral:rRNA from 1 species